CAGCUACCACAGUAAGAAGGAUCAAAGUGGCCACCAAUCUUUUGGGGGGCUCACAGAUGCUCAAGGAUCCAAGGAUCCAAGGAUCUGAGGACCCGAGGACAGAUCUGGUUCAUAUUGUUUGCCUUUCUUGAAUGUCAGACCACAUGAUGGACCUUCUGCUUUUAAAGGUCAUGAUCUCAGGGUCGAGAGACGGCAGAGCCUUGGGUUGAGCUCCAGGCUCAGCAGGGAGUCUGCUUGGGAUUCUCUCUGCCCCUCCCCUCAAC